CCGACUUCCUCUUUUCUCUGUUCUCUCUCGCGGACGAUCGACGCCGACGGAGCAAGGCUUCAGCUCCGGCGAUCUUUUCUCUGCCGGAAUCGACCCUUAAGCUCAGAUCCAGUCGAAGCCCUUCUCCUUCUCAGUCUCAUCUCUCUCUUCUCUCAAGCGGAAGAUCCGACGCACCCGACGCCGACAGAGGGCAUCUGCUUUCCGACGAUCUGGGCCUCUUCGCGUCGCCUGAGGACCGUCGCCGGAUUCUUGAAGGUGCUGACGCUGUCCAAGCUCUUCCGAUGGAGCGAUCCCUUCCUCGGCCGGUUCUUACGCGUGAGCGACAAUGGCUAGGUGGCUAGGGCACGGUGGAGGGCUUGGUUUUGGUUGUUUCCGACCGAUUGACCCUUCGUUUCCUCCUUCUUGAGCUAUUCACAUAACGAUCCGUGGCUCCUCAAAGUGGAUCGGAUUGGGCGAUACCUUCUGGAGACAACCGAUUGAGGGAGGUGUUCUUGAGCUACCGGGAAGAGGCUAGAAGGAUGGUUAAUUGAUCAGUGAUCUCCCUGCUUGACCUCCUGUUGUGAUCCGAUUGAUUCCAAUGAGGUUGAGUGCUGUGGAUCAACAAGCACGACUGUGAGGUGAGGUUCUGUGUACUGUAGGUGUUCUUGGUUCUGCUCUACUUGUUCCAGCAUCAACAGUAGCUGUGAUUUGAGAACCCUCCCAAGCUGGCUACUCCUCUAUUUGAUACUAAAAUGGCAGAGGACCCUAAGAUGACAUACAUAGACCUAGAUAAUCUUUAAAUUGUGUUUUGAACGAAGAGUGUUUGGUCUUGCAUUGUGAUGGCGUCUGAGUGUUGGCUUGGUCUCUAUUGGCUUGCUACAUAUCUAGAAAGCUCCAUGAUUUGUGCUAAGGUAGUUCUUCUCAACGAGCAUAUCUGAGAUGGAACUUCCAUGCUACUUGCUUUUCCGAGUUUGAUUUGCUGCUACAAGAUCGGAAAGAUAUUAUCUGAAGCGUAUCCAAUUUGGAUUUUUCCAGCUCAAAAUAUCAGUAGAUUUGUUGUGGUAGUGCCUUAACAGGAUUUGAGACUUCUCCAUUCAGGAAAAGACAAGUCCGGUAGAUACAAAAAUUACAAGAUUGCAAGUUUGGAUUGAAGGUCACAAGAAAAAAAAUGGGGAGCCAAGUACUCAAGCUGUUGGAGAGAAAAAAGUGGACUUAAUUCGACCAAAUGAUGAAAUGCAGUUUCUCGAUGAUGCAAUAGGAAGCACGGUCGCAUGAUUAUCUAAAUUUAUAGUAUUGUGUGAUUGAUACAUAUUAUACUAAUUUGUUUGGAUUGUAAGUUGAAUUGUUGUUAUGUAAUUGCUAGUUUGUUAGAGAUUUCAUAUAUUGUUUUAGAUGUUUUGAGUUUUUGUGGUAUAAUGAAAAGCUAUGACUUUUAUUAA